UGGGGAAUAUUGCACAAUGGGCGAAAGCCUGAUGCAGCAACGCCGCGUGAGUGAUGAAGGCCUUCGGGUUGUAAAGCUCUGUCUUUUGGGACGAUAAUGACGGUACCAAAGGAGGAAGCCACGGCUAACUACGUGCCAGCAGCCGCGGUAAUACGUAGGUGGCAAGCGUUGUCCGGAUUUACUGGGCGUAAAGGAUGCGUAGGCGGAUUUUUAAGUGAGAUGUGAAAUACCCGGGCUUAAUCUUGGGUGCUGCAUUUCAAACUGGGAAUCUAGAGCGCGGGAGAGGAGAAUGGAAUUCCUAGUGUAGCGGUGAAAUGCGUAGAGAUUAGGAAGAACACCAGUGGCGAAGGCGAUUCUCUGGACCGUAACUGACGCUGAGGCAUGAAAGCGUGGGUAGCAAACAGGAUUAGAUACCCUGGUAGUCCACGCCGUAAACGAUGAGUACUAGGUGUAGGAGGUAUCGACCCCUUCUGUGCCGCAGUUAACACAAUAAGUACUCCGCCUGGGAAGUACGAUCGCAAGAUUAAAACUCAAAUGAAUUGACGGGGUCAAUAGCAUGUUUUCC
rnacentral:rRNA from 1 species